rnacentral:lncRNA from 1 species
GUUUGUGUUGUUGCUUGUUUCUUGGUGAGGAUGUUUUGGAGGCGUAGUUACAUAGUGACGGUGGUGGUGAUGCGCGGUGGUGGGGGUGGUGAUGCAUGGUGGUGGUGAAGUGUGGUGGGAGUGUUAAUGUGUGGUGGUCGUUGGUGUUUAAAGAGGAGGUGGGUGCUUGUUGGGGUGAUAUCCUUUAAAAGCAACCUCUGUUACACGGGUCCAUGUUCGUCGUCACUAGCUAUUGUUUGUGCUUUUUGGGUGGUUUAGGUGUUUGCGGAGUUUGGAGGGUGCGUGUCACGUUGUGUUGAACCUUUUCCUUUUGAUUUGUUUGUUGUUUAAACUUCGCAUGCCAUGUCUUUCGUCUUACUUAUUGUGUGCUGGUUUUCGAUGGGCCGGUUCAUUUGGCUUCGAGAUCGGAAGUCGGGGUCUAGCUGCAAUCUUUGUUUGACUUGAUUUGGUUUUUCUCUGGUGUACCGAGGGCGAGGGGUGCCCUGCUAAU